UGGCUCAGUAGUUAAGAGCACUGGCUACACUUCCAGAGGAUCUGGGUUCAAUUCCCAG
rnacentral:tRNA from 1 species